GGGGAUCAGAUAAGAGGUAAACUGUGCAAAGAGGUGUAAUCUAAUUAAAUUGGCCAUGUUUGCAUGCUUCUAAUUGCAUCGUUGGUUGGGUGCGGAGUGAAGAGUGAAGUCAUUUAAUUAUUUUGAAUUAAUUUUGCAUGUAAUAUCGGUGUUUUUAGCUUGAUUUUUGGAUAAAAGGUGGAAAAGAUCUCAAUCCCAAGGAAGCUGCUGCGUCAUUUACGACACAGCUCAUGAGAUCAUGUUACAUUGGUAAUUCGAUGGUUUUCCGAUUUUCCUACUGCCGCAUGACGCAUAAUGACCUUGAGAGAAGAAAAAAGCGCCAAUCCAAGCAACCUAUUUCAUCGAAAACGCUUCGGAGUCUGUACGAAACCGACGCCUGUGCUAGUUAUCCAUCGAUUUGUCGAUAAAAACUUCAACACCUUCUCAACUCUGUGAAAGAACCUUGAAUUUGACAACAUAGACGCACACACACACAGAGGCAGUGGUCAAAAUGGCCCUGCAAUCUCUGCAAACCAUAUGGCCCCGCAGUUCAUCCGGAGAAUUUAAUGAACAUGUGUUGUGUCUUUUUUACAGCAAAAGAGAAAUUCACCAAAUGUGUGUGUGACGGAGGACGGGUUUAAAUAUAGUGUCGACGACAGAGGGCAACCAUCGCUUUUAUGAUGGCGAUAACUUCAUUUCCUGUCCACGCAACCCUUCUGCUUCUGCACCGCAUGCAAAUGAUGAUGGCAGAUGAGGUUUUAUCCGUUUUAGUUAUUCUUUCUUCAAAUUUAUGCGAAAUUGUAACCCAGAUUAGUUGGCACCGUUUGAAAGGAGACCUUAUAGAGGGUGGGUUUUUCAACUUCAAAGGAAGGUUUCGUUCCUACUUCUACAAUAUGGAUUUGUGAAAAAGCACACACAUACACACACACACCGUCGUAUCGGAAAUAGCAAGAAAUACAAAACACUUUUAACGUU